AACGAACGCUGGCGGCAUGCCUAACACAUGCAAGUCGAACGAGACCUUCGGGUCUAGUGGCGCACGGGUGCGUAACGCGUGGGAAUCUGCCCUCAGGUACGGAAUAACUCAGGGAAACUUGAGCUAAUACCGUAUAAUGACUUCGGUCCAAAGAUUUAUCGCCUGGGGAUGAGCCCGCGUCGGAUUAGCUAGUUGGUGAGGUAAAGGCUCACCAAGGCGACGAUCCGUAGCUGGUCUGAGAGGAUGAUCAGCCACACUGGGACUGAGACACGGCCCAGACUCCUACGGGAGGCAGCAGUGGGGAAUAUUGGACAAUGGGCGAGAGCCUGAUCCAGCAAUGCCGCGUGAGUGAUGAAGGCCUUAGGGUUGUAAAGCUCUUUUACCCGGGAUGAUAAUGACAGUACCGGGAGAAUAAGCCCCGGCUAACUCCGUGCCAGCAGCCGCGGUAAUACGGAGGGGGCUAGCGUUGUUCGGAAUUACUGGGCGUAAAGCGCACGGU
rnacentral:rRNA from 1 species